rnacentral:rRNA from 2 species
GAAGGUGGCCUGUGAGGGUUGCUGGAGGUAUCAGAAGUGCGAAUGCUGACAUAAGUAACGAUAAAGCGGGUGAAAAGCCCGCUCGCCGGAAGACCAAGGGUUCCUGUCCAACGUUAAUCGGGGCAGGGUGAGUCGACCCCUAAGGCGAGGCCGAAAGGCGUAGUCGAUGGGAAACGGGUUAAUAUUCCCGUACUUGGUGUUACUGCGAAGGGGGGACGGAGAAGGCUAUGUUGGCCGGGCGACGGUUGUCCCGGUUUAAGCGUGUAGGUGUGUGUUCCAGGUAAAUCCGGUUCACUUUAACACUGAGGCGUGACGACGAGGCACUACGGUGCUGAAGCAACAAAUGCCCUGCUUCCAGGAAAAGCCUCUAAGCAUCAGGUAACAUCAAAUCGUACCCCAAACCGACACAGGUGGUCAGGUAGAGAAUACCAAGGCGCUUGAGAGAACUCGGGUGAAGGAACUAGGCAAAAUGGUGCCGUAACUUCGGGAGAAGGCACGCUGACAUGUAGGUGAAGUGAUUUACUCAUGGAGCUGAAGUCAGUCGAAGAUACCAGCUGGCUGCAACUGUUUAUUAAAAACACAGCACUGUGCAAACACGAAAGUGGACGUAUACGGUGUGACGCCUGCCCGGUGCCGGAAGGUUAAUUGAUGGGGUCAGCGCAAGCGAAGCUCCUGAUCGAAGCCCCGGUAAACGGCGGCCGUAACUAUAACGGUCCUAAGGUAGCGAAAUUCCUUGUCGGGUAAGUUCCGACCUGCACGAAUGGCGUAAUGAUGGCCAGGCUGUCUCCACCCGAGACUCAGUGAAAUUGAACUCGCUGUGAAGAUGCAGUGUACCCGCGGCAAGACGGAAAGACCCCGUGAACCUUUACUAUAGCUUGACACUGAACAUUGAGCCUUGAUGUGUAGGAUAGGUGGGAGGCUUUGAAGUGUGGACGCCAGUCUGCAUGGAGCCGACCUUGAAAUACCACCCUUUAAUGUUUGAUGUUCUAACGUGGACCCGUUAUCCGGGUUGCGGACAGUGUCUGGUGGGUAGUUUGACUGGGGCGGUCUCCUCCUAAAGAGUAACGGAGGAGCACGAAGGUUGGCUAAUCCUGGUCGGACAUCAGGAGGUUAGUGCAAUGGCAUAAGCCAGCUUGACUGCGAGCGUGACGGCGCGAGCAGGUGCGAAAGCAGGUCAUAGUGAUCCGGUGGUUCUGAAUGGAAGGGCCAUCGCUCAACGGAUAAAAGGUACUCCGGGGAUAACAGGCUGAUACCGCCCAAGAGUUCAUAUCGACGGCGGUGUUUGGCACCUCGAUGUCGGCUCAUCACAUCCUGGGGCUGAAGUAGGUCCCAAGGGUAUGGCUGUUCGCCAUUUAAAGUGGUACGCGAGCUGGGUUUAGAACGUCGUGAGACAGUUCGGUCCCUAUCUGCCGUGGGCGCUGGAGAACUGAGGGGGGCUGCUCCUAGUACGAGAGGACCGGAGUGGACGCAUCACUGGUGUUCGGGUUGUCAUGCCAAUGGCACUGCCCGGUAGCUAAAUGCGGAAGAGAUAAGUGCUGAAAGCAUCUAAGCACGAAACUUGCCCCGAGAUGAGUUCUCCCUGAGACUU